rnacentral:tRNA from 34 species
GGCUACGUAGCUCAGUUGGUUAGAGCACAUCACUCAUAAUGAUGGGGUCACAGGUUCGAAUCCCGUCG